rnacentral:rRNA from 1 species
AAAAGUACUUUGAAAAGAGAGUGCAAGAGAACGUGAAACCGGUGUAAUGGAAGCAGAUGGAGUUGACGUAUCUGGUGCGUAUUCAGUUGUUAGUUGUUGCAAUUGCUGCAUUUGUUAUUCCGCAAGGUUGACUGUGUGGUAUUGUUGUGAUUUCUGGCGAUGCAUUUACGUACGGAGUGCGCCGAGUUGUGUGGCGGUGCCGAUCUAAGUAGAUUUAGAGGACAUGGCUUCGGUUGUGAAACCUUGAUUUAUGGAGGUUGGUUGCUGCUGCAUAGCUUUGUAGAGGUACGGGUUUUUCGCGGAUGCGGAUGUCGGUUCGUUUAGCUUGUGUUGUACGCAUGCGUGCUGCGCUUGAUGAGCGGGUCGGUGUUUGUAUUUGCUCUGUAUCCUUCUCGGUGUAUAGUCAAUGACCCAUUUGACCCGUCUUGAAACACGGACCAAGGAGUUUAUGGUAUACGCGAGUCAUUGGGCUUUGAAACCCAAAGGCGUAAUGAAAGUGAGACUUUACUGGUUUUAAUGCGAUCGGUUGUUGUUUCGACGGCAGCCGAGCAGCAUUGCCCCGUUUCGAGGACUUGUCCUGUUGCGGAGGUUGAGCGUAUGCUAUGAGACCCGAAAGAUGGUGAACUAUGCCUGAACAGGAUGAAGCCAGAGGAAACUCUGGUGGAAGUCCGAAGCGGUUCUGACGUGCAAAUCGAUCGUCUGAUUUUGGUAUAGGGGCGCAAGACUAAUCGAACCAUC